UUGGAUGAAUAUGCACCAAAGAUGAUCAUGUUGUGCCGAUCAUGUGGUGGAACCUAUGGAGAUGAAAUGAAGACCCUCCUAGACCAACUUGACAAAGCUUCUGAUGUGCUUGCUCAAAGAAAAGCUACAGCUCUCGAAGGUCUACCUUUGUUUAUGAGGGAAAAUUCUGGAAACUUCCUGAAGACUUGCCUGAACUGCUCCAACAACAAACCCAGAAAGAACCAAAGGCCAGAAGAAUGACAUGUGGAAUUUCAUCAAUGAAGAUGGUUAUGUAACCUAUACUAAUACGCCUGAUAAAGAUGUUUUAGAUUUAAUUAAAAAGAAUUUUAAUAAACCAACAUUAAAACAUAAUAUAAAAUAUGAUGAAGGGGUUUUAGAUUUUACGAAAAAUAAUUCUAAUAAACCAUUAAGUGAUAGAAAAGUUUUAAAAGAUACAUUUUUGCAAAUUCUCAAACAAAAUCUUCAACUCUUUGAACCAACUCUCAAGUCUUUAAUGGAAAACAAAUAUAAUCAACAAGCAUUUGGUAUUUUAAAAAAGACAAACAAUGAAGUAAAUAAUGUGCAAUGUGAUUUAAUUACUGAAACAAAAGAAGAAGAAUGUAUGACCAAUGAGAUUGAAUUAAUCGGUCCCUUUGGUCGAAAGCGUAAAAAACACAGUGAGGAUCUCUUAAUUAAAAAACUUAAGGAAAGGAAAAAUAUUUCUGAAGUUUGGAUAUACACAACAAAUAGUCCUUGUUUAGGUAAAAAAUCUCAUUCCCCUGAAUCUCAUCAUCCCUGUUUGUAUAAUUUUAUCAAUUAUGCAAAAAAUCAUAACAUUAAAAUCUACAUCGGUUUCUCAAAAUAUUAUAUCUUUGGCAAAGACAUGUAUAAAUUUAUUAAAAAUCUGGAAGAAUUUAGAAACUGGAAUCCUGAUCAUCAAUUACAGGUUAAAUUCAAUAUUACAGAAUUCAAAUUUAAAGCAGCCAGUAAUAUAAUAAAGAACAUUAUUUCUGAAUAUUCAUGCUUAGAAAUGACAUACAGCGAGUGGCAUCAGACAGGAUCAGAAACAUCAGUAAAGUUCGAGUCCACACUGAGAAAAGAGAUGAUGGAGAGCUCUGAUGAAGAGUUCAAUAAGAUUACAGAGGAGUUUAAGAUAUGGUGGACUCUAAGUGUAGAUGAAAAUCUAAACAGACAUGUACUCCCAUCCGUUUUUAAACACAUCCAGGGUCUUUAUCCUAAUCUAGAGUUUUUCCAGGUUGAUUUGGAGCAAAUCUUGAAUUUUGCUAAUGAGGAAUAAUUAGAAUAUAAUUGGAAUAAAUCUCGCUAAUGCUAAUUUACUCACUAAUGCUGAGUUGUCAAAAAUGGGAGAAAUUACUUUAGAAGAGUGUCCUAAUAGUGUGUGUCCAGGGUACAGUAUUAACUACCCUGUGUUUGUCUCAUUAGCUUAUGUGCACUAAUACUACUACUACUUAUUGAGGCAUUGUACACAA